AGAGUUUGAUCAUGGCUCAGAGUGAACGCUGGCGGUAGGCCUAACACAUGCAAGUCGAACGGCAGCACAGGAGAGCUUGCUCUCUGGGUGGCGAGUGGCGGACGGGUGAGGAAUACAUCGGAAUCUACUUUUUCGUGGGGGAUAACGUAGGGAAACUUACGCUAAUACCGCAUACGACCUACGGGUGAAAGCAGGGGAUCUUCGGACCUUGCGCGAUUGAAUGAGCCGAUGUCGGAUUAGCUAGUUGGCGGGGUAAAGGCCCACCAAGGCGACGAUCCGUAGCUGGUCUGAGAGGAUGAUCAGCCACACUGGAACUGAGACACGGUCCAGACUCCUACGGGAGGCAGCAGUGGGGAAUAUUGGACAAUGGGCGCAAGCCUGAUCCAGCCAUACCGCGUGGGUGAAGAAGGCCUUCGGGUUGUAAAGCCCUUUUGUUGGGAAAGAAAUCCAGCUGGCUAAUACCCGGUUGGGAUGACGGUACCCAAAGAAUAAGCACCGGCUAACUUCGUGCCAGCAGCCGCGGUAAUACGAAGGGUGCAAGCGUUACUCGGAAUUACUGGGCGUAAAGCGUGCGUAGGUGG
rnacentral:rRNA from 1 species